CCCUAAAAGGGAAAGGAAAAGCUUUUCAACGGUUUUCUCUUUAUGACGCAAUAGUUAUUAUGCAAGUACUGCAAAAUGAGCAGUGGAAGGAUUUGCUGCACUCAGACCUCAACUCAGACAUCCCACAGUGAUCAUCUUUGCCCUCUGCCAGAUAACAGCAUCCAACAAAUAACCGUCCUGGCUAUAGCAGUGCUCUCAAACUAUCUCCCUAAGGCAGAAGAAGUGGCUCUCUGAAGAAAUCACAUACCAAAGCAGGAGAUGGAGAUGCUUGGUUAUUUCCUUCUGAACUAUUAGGGAGGCAAACUUUAAAGUUUCCAGGUGGAAGGGAUUCAAUAGCUUGCUGCAAAGCAGGCAAGGUUCCAGUGCACAGCUAGGAGGAGAGUCAGCAUUGGACAAAACCUAAAGAGCAAAAUAAAAAUAAAACGUGUGCAUCCUUAUUGCUGUAAGCAGCAAUAUUCCUUUUAAAUAUUUCGCAGCAUUGAUUUACAUUUGGAGUACAUUAUCAGUUAGCUAAAGCAAAAUGUUCUCAGCAGUCCCAACCUGAUUUAUGUAUAACUGAAGCACUCUCGCCAUGCAGCCUGAGCUCUGCUCUUCCUUGCAGACUGCCAGCUGCACAGAGGCUCUCAGGAGGGACCAUA